rnacentral:rRNA from 1 species
UACGGGGGGUGCGAGCGUUGUCCGGAAUCACUGGGCGUAAAGGGUGCGUAGGUGGCAUGGUAAGUCGGAUGUGAAAUCCCGGGGCUCAACCCCGGAACUGCAUUCGAUACUGCUGCGCUAGAGUACUGGAGAGGAGAUUGGAAUUUACGGUGUAGCAGUGAAAUGCGUAGAUAUCGUAAGGAAGACCAGUGGCGAAGGCGGAUCUCUGGACAGUUACUGACACUGAGGCACGAAGGCCAGGGGAGCAAACGGG